UGCGUAGGCGGCUUAUUAAGUCAGUGGUGAAAUCCUGCAGCUUAACUGUAGAACUGCCAUUGAAACUGAUAAGCUUGAAUAUAGUUGAGGUAGGCGGAAUGAGUAGUGUAGCGGUGAAAUGCUUAGAUAUUACUCAGAACACCGAUUGCGAAGGCAGCUUACUAAACUAUUAUUGACGCUGAUGCACGAAAGCGUGGGGAGCGAACAGGAUUAGAUACCCUGGUAGUCC
rnacentral:rRNA from 1 species